rnacentral:rRNA from 1 species
UACGUAGGGUGCGAGCGUUGUCCGGAAUUACUGGGCGUAAAGAGCUCGUAGGUGGUUUGUCGCGUUGUUCGUGAAAACUCACAACUCAAUUGUGGGCGUGCGGGCGAUACGGGCAGGCUGGAGUUCGGUGAGGGGAGACUGGAAUUCCUGGUGUAGCGGUGAAAUGCGCAGAUAUCGGGAGGAACGACCGGUGGCGAAGGCGGUUCGCUGGGCCUUACCUGACGCUGAGGAGCGAAAGCGUGGGGAGCGAACAGGAUUAGACGUACCCC